rnacentral:rRNA from 1 species
UGGGGAAUUUUGGACAAUGGGCGCAAGCCUGAUCCAGCAAUGCCGCGUGCAGGAUGAAGGCCUUCGGGUUGUAAACUGCUUUUGUACGGAACGAAACGGCUCUGGUUAAUACCUGGGAGUCAUGACGGUACCGUAAGAAUAAGCACCGGCUAACUACGUGCCAGCAGCCGCGGUAAUACGUAGGGUGCAAGCGUUAAUCGGAAUUACUGGGCGUAAAGCGUGCGCAGGCGGUGAUGUAAGACAGGUGUGAAAUCCCCGGGCUUAACCUGGGAAUUGCAUUUGUGACAGCAUCGCUGGAGUGCGGCAGAGGGGGAUGGAAUUCCGCGUGUAGCAGUGAAAUGCGUAGAUAUGCGGAGGAACACCGAUGGCGAAGGCAAUCCCCUGGGCCUGCACUGACGCUCAUGCACGAAAGCGUGGGGAGCAAACA